rnacentral:rRNA from 1 species
UGGGGAAUAUUGCACAAUGGGCGCAAGCCUGAUGCAGCAAUGCCGCGUGAACGAUGAAGGUCUUCGGAUCGUAAAGUUCUGUUGCAGGGGAAGAUAAUGACGGUAAACGGUGAGGAAGCCCCGGUGAACUACGUGCUAGCAGCCGAGGUAAUACGUAGGGGGCUAGCGUUAUCCGGAUUUACUGGGCGUAAAGGGUGCGUAGGUGGUCUUUCAAGUCGGUGGUUAAAGGCUACGGCUCAACCGUAGUUAGCCUCCGAAACUGGAAGACUUGAGUGCAGGAGAGGGAAGUGGAAUUCCCAGUGUAGCGGUGAAAUGCGUAGAUAUUGGGAGGAACACCAGUAGCGAAGGCGGCUUUCUGGACUGCAACUGACACUGGUGCACGAAAGCGUGGGUAGCAAACAGG